rnacentral:tRNA from 1 species
CGUUCUGUAGCUCAGAGGGUAGAGCAACGCACUAUUAAUGCGUCUGUCGCGGGUUCGACUCCCGCCGAACGC